rnacentral:rRNA from 1 species
GUCCUGGCAGUAAACGGUGCGCGUUUGGUGUGGGAGGAUUCGACCCCUUCUGUGCCGGAGCUAACGCGUUAAACGCGCCGCCUGGGGAGUACGGUCGCAAGAUUAAAACUCAAAGAAAUUGACGGGGCCCGCACAAGCGGUGGAGUAUGUGGCUUAAUUCGAUGCAACGCGAAGAACCUUACCUGGGCUUGACAUGUAUCUCUAAGUCGGUGAAAGCCGGCGAGUGUAGCAAUACACAAUUUACACAGGUGCUGCAUGGCUGUCGU